UUCCAGUGGGACCUUGUCUUGAAUUAAAAAUAUUUUUUCUUAAGCUUAGUUUGGUAUUGAGAUCCAUCUAACGCUAUUAAAUAAAAUAGAAUUAGAGUAAAAGUAUAUAGGAAUAUACUUCUGCUUUUUCCGAUGUAACCGCAGAAAAUAUAUCGUAGCUAACUCAUUGCGAUAUACGGAACACAAUAUUACGUACAGAAAUAAACAGUAUAUUUUUCCAAACAAGCCUUAGUAAGCAUGACAUCAAAAAUUAUAAA
rnacentral:lncRNA from 1 species